UACGGAGGGUGCGAGCGUUAAUCGGAAUUACUGGGCGUAAAGGGUGCGUAGGUGGUUGAUUAAGUUAUCUGUGAAAUGCCUGGGCUUAACCUGGGACGGUCAGAUAAUACUGGUUGACUCGAGUAUGGGAGAGGGUAGUGGAAGUUCCGGUGUAGCGGUGAAAUGCGUAGAGAUCGGAAGGAACACCAGUGGCGAAGGCGGCUACCUGGACUAAUACUGACACUGAGGCACGAAAGCGUGGGGAGCAAACAGG
rnacentral:rRNA from 1 species